AAAACACUACAGAAAGAAAAUAUGCAGCUGAAACAGGAAAUUAUAAGUCUCAAAAGUAAUAAUGAGAGAAAUACGUUAAAAUGUGGUGAAGCUGAACAGUAUGAAGUGCUGCUUGAAGGAAGAUCAGGACAGAAGAUAGUAGAAAAGUUAAACGAAAUGCAUCUCCUCUUGCAGGCUCAAGCAGCAUCUCUAGAACAGUUCCUGCAAAGGCUGAAUGAUUUUGCUUCAGAAAGAGCUCAGAUGUAACUGAAAAUCCAAGAUCUGGAAUCUGAACUCUCCAGAAUAAAAACUUUGCAAGCUG